GACGAACCGUCCAAACGUUGUUCGGAAUCACUGGGCUUAAAGGGCGCGUAGGCGGGUUCCCAAGUCGGUGGUGAAAUCUUUCCGGCCCAACCGGAAAAGUGCCGCCGAUACUGGGGACCUCGAGGGAGGUAGGGGUCGGAGGGAACUUCCGGUGGAGCGGUGAAAUGCGUAGAUAUCGGAAGGAACGCCGGUGGCGAAGCGCUCGACUGGACCUCUUCUGACGCUGAGGCGCGAAAGCCAGGGGAGCAAACGGG
rnacentral:rRNA from 1 species